UACGGAGGAUCCGGAGCGUUAUCCGGAUUUAUUGGGUUUAAAGGGAGCGUAGGUGGAUUGUUAAGUCAGUUGUGAAAGUUUGCGGCUCAACCGUAAAAUUGCAGUUGAAACUGGCAGUCUUGAGUACAGUAGAGGUGGGCGGAAUUCGUGGUGUAGCGGUGAAAUGCUUAGAUAUCACGAAGAACUCCGAUUGCGAAGGCAGCUCACUGGACUGCAACUGACACUGAGGCUCGAAAGUGUGGGUAUC
rnacentral:rRNA from 1 species